UUGACAUUUAGUGCUUAUUAAUUUUGGAAACGAUUAUAUAUUUUUGUUAAAGAUUAUUAUCUUUUCAGUUUGUUUUUCAUCGAUUGUUAAGUUAUAAGUUCAAUAAUUAGUUCUUAUUAAUCGAUGUUUACAUUUAUAUUCACAGAUCAGAUUUAUAUUCAUGUAAUCUGAGAUCAAAACCAUGAGAAACCAUUGGUGUUGAGCACAAUCCAACAUGGAAGAAGCUGAUUAGUACCUUGAGCUUGUCUUGCAGCACUCUGUGAAGCUCAUUGGAUGAUUGGGAAAUACGCUUGUGUUUCUGUUUUAAUACACAAUAAUGUGUUCAUCAAUUCUGAGACGCUUCUGGUAGGAAGAGACACUUUUCUGAAAGCCUCUGAACUGUGUUUGGUGCUAUUGCAGCGUUAGCUUUCACAUGCUAACAGCCUAAGUGUGUUUGAUUCAGCAAUAGUUUUUGAUAGCUGUGUAUAUUAGUGUUUGCAUGUUAGAAAUCUGCUUUUGCCUGGUUGUUUCUCAGGGACGUUAAAACACAUUAAGCUUUUGUUCUUAUAGUGGACGUCAAUGGAAAACAAUGUGGUGUUGUUCACUUCAUCUGUGGAUUGAGGCUCGCUCUUUACUGUGUUUACUGUUAAUUACAGGUAAAGUUGGACAGAAAUGUGGGUUUCUCUGGUUGUUUAGGUACAUUAAGACACAUGAAGUGUUUUAUAAUGUCUCCUUUAAAUGAGUUAAAUGAUUUAGCUUGGGUUUGUUUCUUGAUUUCAGUUGUGUUCAUUGGUUUAUAGUAAUAUGUUGUGUGAUUUGUGUUUGUGUAUUGCUUAUUAAGCUGGACUUCUGAUAUAAACACUGAUGUGAAGCUAAUAAAUCCUCAAUAAAGUGCUUCAGUGACCCUACAUUACAUCUCUAGAUUGUCUUUAGUUUAAUUUCAGUGGUUUGUGUUUCUCUUUCUGAUCAUUAUGUUGUGUCUAUUUGAGGGACUUUUAUUUUGACACUUCCUGUAGGCCCCAUAUAAAGAGGAAGGCCUGUGUGAUUCUGGAGGGAAACACUGUUUGGACUGGAGGACUAGCUGUGUUUGUGAGCUGUUUCUGGACAUCUUUGACUCUUUCUCUUAGACUCUAUUGAUGGACGAUUCUGUCAUGGAUUUGAAUGGGAAUAUUGGGGCUUUUGAUCAUGUUUGGGUUAUUUUUGGACACAUUCUUCAUUGGUGUUUGAGUAAACUAAUCUCCUCAGGCUCUUCACUGGACGUCUUGAUGAAGGAUUAUUGAUCAACUCAACUGGACAAUCAGAAAGGGAAAAGUCUUUCUAAAGCACAUGAGAUGAAUGGCAUUGCCAGAAUAAAUCCACUAGAGGCUCUGGGUGUUGCUUACAGAAGGAACAGUGUGUGUCCAUCUAAUCUUCUCUGUGUUUUACUAAGGAAGUCUUCACUGGAUAUGUACCAUGAUCAUUCACCCUCGGGUUGCUGACGUACAAAAUACUAACAUCAGAUACACGUUUCUACACCUUAGAGAGUGUUUUAAUGCUGUUAUUUGCUCUUUUGUGUCGUCUGCAUCAAAUGAAAUGUUUAAAAGUGAUUUAAUCUACAUUUUAAAGUAUAUUAAUAGAAGUAAAGUGUCUGUAAAUGUUUCAGAUAAGCUGUAUUAAUAAAAUGUGUGAAGUGUUGAUGAUAA